GUCUUGUGAGAAGAGUUUCUCCAGCACCCUCUGAAUUUGCACUUUUUGACCAUGCCUUGCUGCGCCUACCUAAUCUGCAUCUUCUUUUCACCUUGCCAGGGCUAAAGGCUUUCAAAGACGAUCUGGGACAUUAUCAUUGCUUGUAAUCAAAAAGAAAAUAUUGCCCGUGAUAUUCUAUUUCUAAGAUUUAAUGGACCAUUCGAAUUGUCUACCUGUACAUUAGUAAAGCGUGAACUUUCAAGCAUGGAACUUUCAGGGCUGCUGCGAACUGUCUGGAACUCUCGAGUCCCCUUUUCUAAAAGUUAUUUUUGUAAAUUGCUGUAACAGUGGCUCAUCAGUCACUUUGAAAGGAAGUGAUCCUUGAUUAACAGUUGGCUGAUACCUUGCUCCACAGAUGUGUAGCAACAGUACAGGUGCGACUUAUAAAACAAGACAGAGCUUUACUCCUCCUUGGUACAAGGAAGGCUGGCAUGACCAUCCACUUCACAUCAGAGGGUGUCUUAUCCACCAGUGUGCUGACACCAAGCAGGAAUUUCCAAGUAGAGAGCAGACUCCCUGUAGUCACAUGUCCCUGGUGAAAUUGCUUCAUCAUUCUUCAGAAGGAAAAAAAAAAAAAAAAAAAGAAGAAGCAGAUUCUCUUCCGAAUCCUCUAUUCUCAGAAUGACUAGACAGAACUUUAUGCCAAAAUUCUUGCUCAUCUUCCUAUCUUCUAGUUCCAUAAAUAAAAAUAAAAUGUUAAUAAAUGGAUAAAAUUG